AAUCUGCUGAGGGCAUAUAAAAUGAAUAUGAGAAUCAAACCCACCUGCAGUAACAAUAUGCCCUUCUGCUGCGAUGACUUCAGUCCCUGCACCAAUCACCAUGUCGUCAGAAAUGCCAUCUUGAAUCAAAGGAUUGCCCGCAUGCCCUACGCCUGCGAUCCGUCCAUGCUUCACGCCAAUGUCUGCUUUGAUUAUGCCGUAAACUGGAUCUAUAAUGGUCGCGUUUGUUAAUACUAAGUCUAAACAAUCCGCAUCUUCCGCUAAUGGAGAUUGACCCAUUCCAUCGCG
rnacentral:sRNA from 1 species